rnacentral:rRNA from 1 species
GAUGAACGCUAGCGGCAGGCCUAACACAUGCAAGUCGAGGGGUAGAAGGAGCUUGCUCCUUUGAGACCGGCGCACGGGUGCGUAACGCGUAUGCAAUCUACCUUGUACAGUGGAAUAGCCCAGAGAAAUUUGGAUUAAUGCCCCAUAGUAUAUAACCUUCGCAUGUUGGUUAUCUUAAAGUUCCAACGGUACAAGAUGAGCAUGCGUCCCAUUAGUUAGUUGGUAAGGUAACGGCUUACCAAGACGAUGAUGGGUAGGGGUCCUGAGAGGGAGAUCCCCCACACUGGUACUGAGACACGGACCAGACUCCUACGGGAGGCAGCAGUGAGGAAGAGUGGUCAAGGGUCGCAAGACUGACCCAGCCAUGCCGCGUGCAGGAAGACGGUCCUAGGGAUUGUAAACUGCUUUUAUACAGGAAGAAACCCUCCCACGUGUGGGAGCUUGACGGUACUGUAGGAAUAAGGAUCGGCUAACUCCGUG